GUGUGUCAGACAGUUUUCCUCGGCUCCUUCGCUAAGGCAAGUAGAGAGAAGGACAGAAUGAGGAAACAAGCACCGUUUCGGGGGAGUGGAGCAGGUGCUGUAGAUACCUGUGGUGAUACAUGUGGGAACUGUGGACAUUGCAGAUAAUUGUUGUGCGCAGGCCCUGGCAGACUUUAAACAAAUUAUUGAGAGGAUUCACCAGGAGCGACCAAACCAGGAACUCUGCGUCAGCCUACCGCUACCCAGAGCCCCGAACUGCCGACGCCGAAGAGCAAACAAGUUCGUACAUUGGUUCAAUAGAGAAGCAUCCUGUUUCAUUAACCAAGUGCGCCGCCUUUGCCAUCGGAAGGAACUGGGCCGCGGUGUCUCCUAUCUCGACCACUCCUUCCAUGAGAUGCUGCCUUGGAGGGCCUUCGCUGCCAACGGCCUUCACCCCAGCUUCGAAGGCAUGGCAAGGCUGGCUCUCCGCUAUCGAGAACUGCUCAUCACUAGGACCAGCCGCUGGCACCCGCAGAACUUGCAGCUGGCCAGGAACACUGCCCUCACUGGUUCCGGCUCCCCAGUGCCUGCCGAAAGCACCACCUUAGCGGGCUCUCCCUCAUUGCCCGCACCCGUGCCACCUGUUCCGAAGCCCGUCAUUGCCCCAACAUUGCCAACGAUGGCCUACAACCUCCGCACUUAUUCCAACACCACUGGAUGACCAGUACAGCCAAAAGUGAACUGACUGCCAAAUAGUUCAGAUCGUCACCUACGUCACCGUGCAGAUACUGCUGCCUGUGAUAGGCAGCGCAGCUACUGUUGCCUCAGCAGGGUGUGGGGCCAAUUUCCAAGCAAAGGAGCCGGGAAACUAUCCAGUUUUCCUUAGCAGCGAUGCGCCCUACUUGGACAGCUCACCGCAGCGAAGGUACCCUCCGGUUUUCAGUCAAGAAUGGCAAGCCCCAUCGUCAUCAACGGCUGCACAACCAGUGGACAUAAAGGACGCACGACCUUCGCCGCAGCUUUGUGGGCCCGGUGACUGUGCCUUUGCGCACUGUGCUAAACCUUCCGCUCUUGCAAUGCAGGCGCACUAUCCUCUGUCUCUUGGGCUGGAUGAAAUGCGAGGUGCCCAAUUCCAUCUCAACCUGGAAUGCAACAUGUAGUGAUAGUUGCAAUAUCGAGAAAUGG
rnacentral:misc_RNA from 1 species